CUAGCUUCAACUAUAGGUUAUGGUGGGUUGACCCCUGUUUCACCCUGGAUCCGGCUACUCAGCCUAGCAUAUGCAGGAGUUGCUUGUCCACUGUUUGCUUGCUUGCUUAGCCAGGUUUCCGCAUUAAUUACACUUUUAACACAACAGGUUUUGUUCGGGCAGGCUAGCAGCGAACCAUACAAGCUUAAACACGCAGCUAUCUUACUGGGUAUACACAGUGUAUUUGGAGCUUUUAUACUUGCCUUCCUUUUCCAAUGGACCUUAGAGGAUGCAAUCUACUUUAUAGGGAUAACCUUUACUACAGUUGGAUUCGGAGAUAUUGUCCCUGAGGU